rnacentral:rRNA from 1 species
UACGGGGGGGGCAAGCGUUGUUCGGAAUUACUGGGCGUAAAGGGCUCGUAGGCGGCCAACUAAGUCAGACGUGAAAUCCCUCGGCUUAACCGGGGAACUGCGUCUGAUACUGGAUGGCUUGAAUCCGGGAGAGGGAUGCGGAAUUCCAGGUGUAGCGGUGAAAUGCGUAGAUAUCUGGAGGAACACCGGUGGCGAAAGCGGCAUCCUGGACCGGCAUUGACGCUGAGGAGCGAAAGCCAGGGGAGCAAACGGG